rnacentral:rRNA from 1 species
CUUAAAUAGAUUGAACAAGGGGAGAAAGUUGAUGUCUCAAAUCAAAAGCCAUGUAGAGUUGGCCGCAAGCGGAAAGAUUUGGAUCUGUCGAGCGUGGUGACAAUCCCAUUGAAUAGAAGGAGAACAUUGCGAGGUCUUUCAAAGGCAUUGGGUGUAAGCUGCACGACCUUACACUCAAGGUUCGAGUGGGGUCAUUUGAGGCGUCACAGUAAUAAGUUGAGGCCCCACUUAAACCUAUCCAUCAUUGUAAAGAGAUUAUAA